GGCUCCUGUUGUUCCGUCAGGCCCCGCCCCGCAUUCACUACGUGGAGGACGGUUUGUUGCGGUGCUCGGAGCCCAGCCGGGCUGUAGCGAGGCGGCUAACCUUGUUUGGUUUCCUCUUUGCUUAUGGACGUGGCGUGUGGAAGCACGGAGCAAACAGCGCCAUGUGCCCCGAGGGAGAGCGGCUGUGUGAGCCCUGCUCAGUGGUCCCAGCGGUGUCGUGCUGCCAUCGCGGUGGAUUCCGUUCAGAACAAACCCCAAACAUGUAGGAAAACUCUAGAAUGCCAGAAGUUAUGGAAUCCUUGCUCCAUCUCAAGAAGAGGACCAUGAUCUGAAUAGUUACAGAAGAGUUUUCUUGUCCUGCUGCUUUUACCGUGAACAGCAAGUCAUCAACAAAUCUGUGGUGAAAGUUCCGAUAUUUCAAAGGACGUAUAAUCUGCUGUGCUUUUCAGAAUCCCGAAAUAGGUAAGACAUAAUCAAAUUUUAAACUACAUCAUGUUUUGCCAGUCAGGCACCAUUAUAAUUUGAGAGGCGUGAUGUGAUGCAAUGAGAUGU
rnacentral:lncRNA from 1 species